rnacentral:tRNA from 1 species
GGAGUUAGAGCUCGGGUAGAGCGCAUACUUAGCACGCAUGGGGUCCUGGGUUCAAUCCCCAGUCCCUCCA